rnacentral:rRNA from 1 species
AUUGAACGCUGGCGGCAGGCCUAACACAUGCAAGUCGAACGAGUGGCGGACGGGUGGGUAAUGUCUGGGAAACUGCCUGAUGGAGGGGGAUAACUACUGGAAACGGUAGCUACUACCGCAUACCAUCGGAUGUGCCCAGAUGGGAUUAGCUAGUAGGUGGGGUAAAGGCUCACCUAGGCGACGAUCCCGAGCUGGUCUGAGAGGAUGAUCAGGCACACUGGAACUGAGACACGGUCCAGACUCCUACGGGAGGCAGCAGUGGGGAAUAUUGGACAAUGGGCGAAAGCCUGAUGCAGCCAUGCCGCGUGUAUGAAGAAGGCCUUCGGGUUGUAAAGUACUUUCAGCGGGGAGGCGUUACCCGCAGAAGAAGCACCGGCUAACUCCGUGCCAGCAGCCGCGGUAAUAC